UGGACUUCUACAUUAAGACUUAGUGGCAUUUUUACAUUCUGAACACUCAGUCACCUCUUAGAGGGCAAAGGCCAUCGAUUGACACAGAAAGGUUUGCUCCAAUACAGGGCUUCUUCAAAUGUGAAGACUGUUGAUUUGAAGGACUUCACCAAUAACUGUUUAUGAAACUUGUCAAUUUUGAGAUUUUAUUUAAUUUAUUUCAUUUGCCUCUUUGAUAUAUCUCUAUUCCAGAAAUAUAUAAUACCUGAAUUUGAGCACAGAGUCUAAAAAACCUAGUCUGAUUUUUCUUUUUGAUAAACAAUUUCAAUUUUCCAGAACCAUCAGGUAAUUAGUAUUUUCCUAAAUUGUGAUACUGGAAGAAAGUGGCUCAUUUAGAAACAGAAGGUAGUAGAGAUUUAGUUAAAAGCAAUAAGCCACUUUAGGCCUGUGGAUCUAUUAGGAUUUGACUUUGUCUAUAGCAGAAACUGGGACCUGUAACAUCCAUUUCAUAUAUAAAACUUCUUUUUUUCUCAUGCAACAAUGUCUGGAAGUAUGUGACAUUUGCUAGUAGAUCUGUGAGGCAAAGAUGUGAAGCCUGAAGUCUCUAUGGUUCUCUUGAUUUUUUUCUUUAUGUCCCAACAUGGCUGCUCUUACUCUUGCUAUUAUGUUUGCAUUUCAGGUGGGAGCUGACAAAUAGGGAAGGUGUUUCCCAGAAAUUCCCAGGAGACAUCUGCAUCAUUCUCACUGGUUGUAAAUGUGUCACAUGGCCAUCUUGGUUAUAGAAGUCUCUGCCAUCUGACAGUCAUCUUUGACCACCGCCUCUGACUAUCACCUCUACUCCCCUCCCACAUUACCAAAGCCAGGAGUUGUGACAUGAUUUUGGCCUGAUUCCAGGCUGCAUGCAGCCCUUGGCACCAGCAGAAGAAUUUAUACAGAAUUUCAGGUCACCUGCAUGCCCAGUACAGUGCAGCAGGACAUCCAUUGACAAACAAGGCAUGAGCUCCUGGUAAUGCAACUCGAUUUCUCCAGGGGAAAGGCUCCAGGAUGGCUCAGAGCAGCACAGUUUUCCAGGUGUCUACCCCUAGGCCAAGAACAUGGUCGGAUGUACAGCACAAAGAUCUAUGAAGACUGGUGAGUUUUCAGUUCCUUACUUGAAGUCCUAACUUUAGUUCCCCCCUCCUCUCCUUUGUAUUGGUGUAGGUGGGAGUGAGGUUGAAACAGGUGGUAACACAAGUACCAUGAAGGUUUAUAUAAAACACAGCUAAAUAACACUUGCCUAGUUGCAUGCGACCUCACUAUAUUCAUUGUAUUUUGUUUCACUUUGGCCAUGAUGUUUAUUGUAUUCUAUCUUUCUUUUUCCCUCCUGCAUGCU
rnacentral:lncRNA from 1 species